AUUGAACGCUGGCGGCAUGCUUUACACAUGCAAGUCGAACGGCAGCGCGGGCUUCGGCCUGGCGGCGAGUGGCGAACGGGUGAGUAAUGCAUCGGAACGUGCCCAGUAGUGGGGGAUAGCCCGGCGAAAGCCGGAUUAAUACCGCAUACGACCUGAGGGUGAAAGCGGGGGACCGAAAGGCCUCGCGCUAUUGGAGCGGCCGAUGUCGGAUUAGCUAGUUGGUGGGGUAAAGGCUUACCAAGGCGACGAUCCGUAGCUGGUCUGAGAGGACGACCAGCCACACUGGGACUGAGACACGGCCCAGACUCCUACGGGAGGCAGCAGUGGGGAAUUUUGGACAAUGGGGGAAACCCUGAUCCAGCCAUGCCGCGUGCGGGAAGAAGGCCUUCGGGUUGUAAACCGCUUUUGUUCGGAAAGAAAUCCUCUGGGCUAAUACCCCGGGGGGAUGACGGUACCGGAAGAAUAAGCACCGGCUAACUACGUG
rnacentral:rRNA from 1 species